rnacentral:rRNA from 1 species
AGCUCGUGUCGUGAGAUGUUCGGGUUAAGUCCCGGCAACGAGCGCAACCCCUAUUGUUAGUUGCCAUCAUUCAGUUGGGCACUCUAGCGAGACUGCCGGUAAUAAACCGGAGGAAGGUGGGGAUGACGUCAAAUCAUCAUGCCCCUUAUGACCUGGGCUACACACGUGCUACAAUGGUUGGUACAACGAGUUGCGAGUCGGUGACGGCGAGCUAAUCUCUUAAAGCCAAUCUCAGUUCGGAUUGUAGGCUGCAACUCGCCUACAUGAAGUCGGAAUCGCUAGUAAUCGCGGAUCAGCACGCCGCGGUGAAUACGUUCCCGGGCCUU